rnacentral:rRNA from 1 species
CCCUGCCAUUUGUACACACCGCCCGUCGCUGCUACCGAUUGGAUGAUCCGGUGAAAUUUUCGGACUGUCGCGUGUUGUGCCGUUCGCGGCGCUCUCGCGAUGGGAAGUUACUUGAACCUUAUUAUCUAGAGGAA